rnacentral:lncRNA from 1 species
UAUUUUUAAUAAAGAAUUUACCCAUUUGAUUAAAUAACCAAACUAUUAUAUACAUUGUUAUUAUUAUUAUUAUUUUUUGCUAUUAAAUUCUUACCUGAUCCCUAAAAAUACUUGUUAUACUGAAGAAUGAGAAUCUUGUUCCUCCCAUUUCAAUUGUCCCACUAAUUUCACAUUUAUAUAGUGGGAAACAUGUUGAAGAAAAGUAUUAAAAUAUUUUAAAGCCACAUGGGAUUAUUAAAACCUGGAAUGAGUCCUCUAAAUCAUUGAGGCAACUGUUCAUCAGAUGCUUUUCCUUAAAAAGAAGAAGAAAAAGAAGAAGAAAAAAACCCACCAACUUUGUACUUACUGGAGACCUAUAAUUCACAGCUGUUAUUUUAAGCAAUGUUCCUGGAGAACGGUCAGAGGAAUAUACUGGAACAUUGGAAGAAGAAGAAAUUAGCCAAAUUCAUCAUUUGCAUUUAAUUUUGCAUUUUCAUUCAAUUAAUUCCCCUUACUUGUCUAGCAAGACUGAACUCCUUUUAAAAGUCAUAAUUUCUUUCAGCUCAGCGUAAAUUAUGAUGCCUGAGAAUCUUGGACUAUGAAUAAUGUGGCCUAUUUUGGGGGGCUACUGUCUGUUAGUUUUGGAUGGGAAAUACAAAAGCAUUUUACACACUCAAAGCAAAGAUAGUGAGUGUUGAAAGUAAUCAAUGACUUCCUUUCAUUUCCUCUAAAUGACAAGCUUAACAAUUGCCAUGGAACUCACCAGUGCAUUCUGGAAAUCUCAUUCUGUCAUCAUAAAACUCUGACUAUAGCAACAUCUGUCUAGAGCUGGACAGAGCCCCAGUGACCCUGUGCUAACAUUGUAUCCCUGGUGGUCAGAAAGCAAGCAAGAAAGUUUUUAUCUGAAGAAUGGAGACUGCACUCCUAAUGUUAUUAUGUGGAUUCAAGGAUGGAAUAAAAGUUAAAGCAACUAGCAUAAAAUGCUACUUGUGCAUCCUAAGGCCAAGCUGGGAAGAAAAAGACCUAACAGACAUUGUCCUUGCUUCAAGGAGUCUAGAGUCGAAAAGCUGUAACUGGAAGAAUGGAUGUUGAGCGGCAACACACUGUCUACUUUGUUUCCUGGUUUCCCCAGUGUGAGAAUAAAAGAACAGCCUUUUUUGAAUGUCUGACA